UACAGAGGGUGCAAGCGUUGUUCGGAUUUACUGGGCGUAAAGCGUGCGCAGGCGGUUCUGAAAGUCAGCUGUGAAGGCCCCGGGCUUAACCUGGGAAUUGCGGUUGAAACUACAGGGCUAGAAUCUGGCAGAGGGGGGUGGAAUUCCACGUGUAGCAGUGAAAUGCGUAGAGAUGUGGAGGAACACCGAUGGCGAAGGCAGCCCCCUGGGCUGAGAUUGACGCUCAGGCACGAAAGCGUGGGGAGCAAACAGG
rnacentral:rRNA from 1 species